GGUAAAACAAUAUGACAACAUAACCUCCAUUCUAUGUGAUUUGACACACACAUUAUAUGACACGGCUUCCUAAAAAUCAAGCAGCAGCCCACAUGCAUCCCAUGAUAAAAGUAAAAUUGCUGUAGUUACAAUAUCAAUCUACAUGCUGCAGCAACUUAGGAUAGUCCAAUAGACUUUGAGCACACCACUCUGAACAAUAGAAGAGUUGAAGAAAGUUAAGAAAAAUGGGAUCCAAAUCAACAAACAAAAGUAUUAGUUAUCUUCUUUUUUUAAAGAAAGAAAAAGUACCAGUUAUAGACUGAUUUUGUGUAGAAGUUACGAAAGAAAGAGACUGAAAUCACAGAGGGUCCUACAUUGGACUUCACUAGAUACGAAAGCAAUAAAAUCUUGUAAAAUGUUACUAAACCAGUUACUAAAGAUAACAAAUAGAAAGAGCAAAAAACAUGUGAAGACAGAAUAUAGAAAAGGAACUCCAAGAGCUGGAAGGAGGAGG
rnacentral:lncRNA from 1 species